GUGAACCCCGGGCCAGCAGCGCAGGGAAGACGGAGGGGGCAAGCGUUAAUCGGAAUUAAUGGGCGUAAAGCGUGCGCAUGCGGCUUAGUAAGUCAGAUGUGAAAUCCCUAGGCUCAACCUAGGAACUGCAUUUGAAACUAAUAAACUAGAGUAUCGUAGAGGGAGGUAGAAUUCCAGGUGUAGCGGUGAAAUGCGUAGAUAUCUGGAGGAAUACCAGUGGCGAAGGCGACCUCCUGGACGAAAACUGACGCUCAAGCACGAAAGCAUGGGGAGCAAACAGGAUUAGAUACCCCUGUAGUC
rnacentral:rRNA from 1 species